rnacentral:lncRNA from 1 species
ACAAAACCCAUCAAUAAUCCUGUCUAGCUUGUUCUUGUUAAAACAAAAAUCCAGCUGAAUAGUAGGAUAGGCAAAUUCUUUCUAUUCUCCUGAUAAAACUAGAAGCUCAGAAGGGCUGAUCAUUGCUUCCUUGCUAUUCUCAUGAUGAAACUAGAAACUGGGGGAGUGGGAUCACCACUUCUGUCUUGCUAAUAGACAGGUUCUGGGGAGAAGCAAGCAUCUUGUCCACUCUUACAAGAAUUCCCCAUUAGGUCAUCUAGUCCUUACACCAGCACCCCCUGCAUUACAACCUCUUUAUAAUCCCUGAUCACCCUCCUCCAACAGCAUGGUAGUCCUAAUGAAGGCAUCCUACCUUCCCCUAAUCUUGUGAGUAAUAUUUGCAGAAGAGUUUUGGAAGCCUACUGAAAAAAGGAGAUGAUUUGGAAGGGCAGGCUUUUGACCCAGCUGACAGAGAACCCUCCCCCAACUGAAAGCACCUCCCUCCUGACACCCUGGACUCCCCUGACUGGCUGGUGGGACCUUCCUCAGAACAAAGCCUGAAAAUCUGCAUAAUUGUCAAUUGAAUAGACUCAUUGUUUUAUUUCAAGCCUGGUGCUCCAAUUACCCCUGUCCCUUUAAACAUCCUUUGUGCUGCGGGGUUUGGUAGAAAAAGGCUUCUUUGGAUUGGGAGGACUUUCUUUCCCAAGACUGCAGCUGCCUUCUGGAAAUACACCCUUUCCUCUGGCCAGCACUCAGCUAUGGCGAAUUGAAGCGGUGAGCAUCCAGAGCCGGAUUAUGUGUCUGGAAACAACACUGCCCCUGCAUUUCCAGGCAAAAGAAGGAAAUCAUUUUGCUGAUGGAGCAACUGUGUUCAGCAUUAAGCAGCACAAUCCUUUGUCUCUGACCCAGGUGAAAAUACAA